rnacentral:rRNA from 2 species
CUGACGAGUGGCGGACGGGUGAGUAAUGUCUGGGAAACUGCCUGAUGGAGGGGGAUAACUACUGGAAACGGUAGCUAAUACCGCAUAACGUCGCAAGACCAAAGAGGGGGACCUUCGGGCCUCUUGCCAUCGGAUGUGCCCAGAUGGGAUUAGCUAGUAGGUGGGGUAACGGCUCACCUAGGCGACGAUCCCUAGCUGGUCUGAGAGGAUGACCAGCCACACUGGAACUGAGACACGGUCCAGACUCCUACGGGAGGCAGCAGUGGGGAAUAUUGCACAAUGGGCGCAAGCCUGAUGCAGCCAUGCCGCGUGUAUGAAGAAGGCCUUCGGGUUGUAAAGUACUUUCAGCGGGGAGGAAGGGAGUAAAGUUAAUACCUUUGCUCAUUGACGUUACCCGCAGAAGAAGCACCGGCUAACUCCGUGCCAGCAGCCGCGGUAAUACGGAGGGUGCAAGCGUUAAUCGGAAUUACUGGGCGUAAAGCGCACGCAGGCGGUUUGUUAAGUCAGAUGU